CUCCGGGAUGGUUUGAUCCAAGUCGUUUCUGCUCAGGUUCAUGUAGUAGAGCCUUGGCAAAUUGUUGAGCGUUGGGGGUAUUUCGGAAC
rnacentral:sRNA from 1 species